rnacentral:rRNA from 1 species
AAACCUUACCUGGCCUUGACAUGGUAGGAACCUUUAAGAGAUUAGGGGGUGCUAGCUUGCUAGAACCUACACACAGGUGCUGCACGGCUGUCGUCAGCUCGUGUCGUGAGAUGUUGGGUUAAGUCCCGCAACGAGCGCAACCCUCGUCUUUAGUUGCUAACAGUUAGGCUGAGCACUCUAAAGAGACUGCCUCCGUAAGGAGGAGGAAGGUGAGGACGACGUCAAGUCAUCAUGGCCCUUACGGCCAGGGCUACACACGUGCUACAAUGGGGCGUACAGAGAGCUGCAAUACCGCGAGGUGGAGCCAAUCUCUUAAAGCGUCUCUCAGUUCGGAUUGUUCUCUGCAACUCGAGAACAUGAAGCUGGAAUCACUAGUAAU